rnacentral:rRNA from 1 species
ANAGGCAGUUAGGCACCUUAUUAAGCUAGUUCAUUUAUAGUUGUAUAAUAGAUAGGUAAAAUUUAACUAUCAGCUUAAAAACUCUUAUAAACUAAAUCAGCUGAACCUGCGACAACCUCGAGGGAAACUGGGAUUAGAUACCCCAUUAUUCUUGGUAAUAAAAAGAUAAAUCUACCAGAGUACUACGAAUAAAAGAUUUAAAACUCAAAGGGCUUGGCGGUGCUUUAGACUUUUCAGGGGAACCUGUCUUAUAAUCGACAAUCCACGCUACACCUAACCUUUUCUUGCAUACAAUUUGUAUACCGUCGUCGUCAGGUAACUUUUAAAAAUCCUAAUAGUUAGCAGAAAAGUUUACUGAUAAGCUUAAACGUCAGAUCAAGGUGCAAUUAAUGAGAAGGGCAAGAUGGGUUACAGUUAUAUAAAUAAUAACACGAAAAACUAGUUGAAACACUACUUUAAAGGAGGACUUGAAAGUAAA